rnacentral:rRNA from 1 species
UACGUAGGGGGCUAGCGUUGUCCGGAUUUAUUGGGCGUAAAGAGCGUGUAGGCGGCCAGGUAGGUCUGCUGUGAAAACUCGAGGCUCAACCUCGAGACGUCGGCGGAAACCAUCUGGCUAGAGUCCGGAAGAGGAGAGUGGAAUUCCUGGUGUAGCGGUGAAAUGCGCAGAUAUCAGGAAGAACACCCGUGGCGAAGGCGGCUCUCUGGGACGGUACUGACGCUGAGACGCGAAAUCGUGGGGAGCGAACAGG